AGAAUUUCUGGGAAUGGGACACUAGUAAUUUAGUUCUUCAGGUGGACCUGAUACCUACUCCAGUUAUUAUGGUCUACAGUUCUCUGCUAUCAUUUUGUAAUGCCCACAUGACAUUCUAUAGUAAACCUAAGCUACAAGUUGUUUGACUUAUGGGUGGCUGAAAUUUAUAUUGUUUUCAGUUUGCACUAUUUCAAACACUGUUUCACCAAACAUCCCAAUAGUAGCUAAGUCUUUGCAUACAUACAUAAUGCUUUACUUUGGGUAACUAUUUUAAGACAGAAUGUAUAUUUUGUUCUUAUAAUAUAGUUUCUUUAUCAUUUGCCUUUUUAUUGCUAGUGAGGUGAAACAUUCUUAUAUUGGCUAGAUAGAUAGAUAGAUAGAUAGAUAGAUAGAUAGAUAGAUAGAUAGAUAGAUAUAGAUAUACAUAUAGAUGUGGAUAUAGAAAGGCAGGCAGAGGUCACUUAGCCCUUUCUAUUUUUAGGACUAUUGAUGCUUACAUCAUUAUGUGUGCUACAGACCUUUUGUUCACUUGGUCAUUUGCCUUCUUGAUUUGGUUCUGGAGUUUGGUGCUGUGCCCGGCUGUUCAUUUUUUAUGAGGUCACUCCUAAUAGUUCUUCUUGCUUGUUGCACUUGUCUUGUUAGAAAGCCUUAGGAAAGAUCUCUGCCUCCACCCCGCUCAUAGUGCGGUUAAGUACUUAACUCAGACACAUAAAAUUAAAUUGGGCACCUGAGGGUCUCAGCCUUGCUUUAUACCCUGAUUACUGCAAGCAAGCAGACUGGCUUUCGUCUAGUGUAGUCUCUCGGCAAAUAAGGAUCAUAAGAAUACUUAUUGGGGCUUAUGUAACGUUCCAGGCCCUUCCUAGGCCUUUAAUCUACCUUUAUAUCAGCUAGAUAAUUUUGUCUCUAUUGAGACCCAGAAAAGAUUUAUAGCUUUCUUAAGAAAUAGCUGAAUGGGACCUCUCUGCCAAGUUCUACUGUUGUAACUUUUAAGUGAAAAAAGGUAGCAGAAAAUAUUUUUCCUGUCCAAAACAAAAAAUUUACUAUAUAGUACAUAUACAUAUCUAUAUAUGUUUAUAUUUCAGAAAAAAAAGCCUCUAAGUAUCUGAAAAAAAGUUUUAUCAAGCAAAUAAUUUUAUGGAAAAAAAACCACCCAGGGACUAAAAUAGACCUUGUAGCUCACAAAAUAAACUCCAUCUUUUCUGGAUGUACAGUAAAACAUGAGCAAAUGAAAACACAGAGUCUUCAGUUAGAUGCUCAGUAAUUAUGUAGUCAUUGGAAUUCAUGUGCCAAGAAUGAGCACAUUAUACCUUGUAAUGUUUUGGAAUUAUCAUUACCUAACAGGUGGUUUCUUCUGACCCGACCAGGUUGUGCUGCCCUUUCCCUGUGAGUACAAACUGUACCCGGGAGGGAGCUCUGUGUGGUUUUCCUGCUUUUACCUUUAGAACUUACCAGGGUCCAAAAGAAAUGUUUUUGCUGUACUCAAGGCUUUUACAUCGUCUUGCUGGGUUAAUAACGUGUCAUUACCACAAGGUUUAAAAGAGGCUAAAGCAUCUACCCUGCGUGAUGCUAAAUUACAUAAGCAGGUGUUCUCAUGAAGAAAUGUCCGCUGACAUUUGUAAAAUAAAAGGUUAUUUUAAAAAGUCUUUACCAUGUCAGAGUUCACAUGUUUCACAUCUUUCCAGCUAGGUCUUGGAGAGCAUUUCCAUCAUCAUGAAAUAUAUUUCUGAGUACCUAAGGACAGCUUGCUGUUGGUGCCGAAAGCUUCUGAUACUGGCUUUCCCCUGUGUAUGCCGUUGCACAUGGCAGAACUGGUAGCUGAUCCGAUCUGAGCUCAUGACUCAGACAUUCUAGAGGAGACACAUUAACAUGACAUGAAUUUUGGCCAAAAUAAUUUUGAUGGUUAAGAAUGACUUUUUCCUUCUCAUUCAAAUACUUUGUCAUUAAGUACAAAUCCUAUCUAUAAAUGAAAUUCACAUCUUUGAAAGGUAUCCUGUUGUAUGCUAAUACAAGCUAUUUAAUACACUUGUUCUUAGGUAGUACAGAUAUUUGACUAGUUCUAGAUUUCCAGAUACUUUCCCAGAACAGGUAGUUGGGGAAGAGCUGGAGACUGGACUCUAACUCAGACUUGGAUGCUGAAAUAAACUUACAUCUGUACUUUAUUUAAGGAUGGAUUUAGUAAAGGCAGGACAGGCCUUCAAAUAACGGAACUGUUGCAUCUUAAGAAAUAGCUGAAAGAAACCUUUUUUUUUUUUCUUAUUAAGUUCUUACUGUUGUUACAUUUAAAUG
rnacentral:lncRNA from 1 species